UUAAGCAUAUCAAUAAGCGGAGGAAAAGAAACCAACAGGGAUUGCCCUAGUAACGGCGAGUGAAGCGGCAACAGCUCAAAUUUGAAAUCUGGCGCAAGCCCGAGUUGUAAUUUGUAGAGGAUGCUUCUGGGUAGCGACCGGUCUAAGUUCCUUGGAACAGGACGUCAUAGAGGGUGAGAAUCCCGUAUGUGACCGGCCCGCACCCUUUACGUAGCUCCUUCGACGAGUCGAGUUGUUUGGGAAUGCAGCUCUAAAUGGGAGGUAAAUUUCUUCUAAAGCUAAAUACCGGCCAGAGACCGAUAGCGCACAAGUAGAGUGAUCGAAAGAUGAAAAGUACUUUGGAAAGAGAGUUAAAAAGCACGUGAAAUUGUUGAAAGGGAAGCGCCUGCAAUCAGACUUCGCGGCAGUGUUCCGCCGGUCUUCUGACCGGUUUAUUCUCUGUCGCGAGGCCAUCAUCGUCUCGGCCCGCUGGAUAAGACCUUGGGAAUGUAGCUCACCUUCGGGGGAGUGUUAUAGCUCAUGGUGAUGCAGCGAGGCUGGGGCGAGGUCCGCGCUUCGGCAAGGAUGAUGGCGUAAUGGUUGUCGGCGGCCCGUCUUGAAACACGGACCAAGGAGUCUAACAUCUAUGCGAGUGUUCGGGUGUCAAACCCCUACGCGUAAUGAAAGUGAACGGAGGUGGGAACCGCAAGGUGCACCAUCGACCGAUCCUGAUGUCCUCGGAUGGAUUUGAGUAAGAGCAUAGCUGUUGGGACCCGAAAGAUGGUGAACUAUGCCUGAAUAGGGUGAAGCCAGAGGAAACUCUGGUGGAGGCUCGCAGCGGUUCUGACGUGCAAAUCGAUCGUCAAAUUUGGGUAUAGGGGCGAAAGACUAAUCGAACCAUCUAGUAGCUGGUUCCUGCCGAAGUU
rnacentral:rRNA from 1 species